GAUGAACGCUAGCUACAGGCUUAACACAUGCAAGUCGAGGGGCAGCAUGGUCUUAGCUUGCUAAGGCCGAUGGCGACCGGCGCACGGGUGAGUAACACGUAUCCAACCUGCCGUCUACUCUUGGACAGCCUUCUGAAAGGAAGAUUAAUACAAGAUGGCAUCAUGAGUCCGCAUGUUCACAUGAUUAACGGUAUUCCGGUAGACGAUGGGGAUGCGUUCCAUUAGAUAGUAGGCGGGGUAACGGCCCACCUAGUCUUCGAUGGAUAGGGGUUCUGAGAGGAAGGUACCCCACAUUGGUACUGAGACACGGUCCAAACUCCUACGGGAGGCAGCAGUGAGGAAUAUUGGUCAAUGGGCGCAGGCCUGAACCAGCCAAGUAGCGUGAAGGAUGACUGCCCUAUGGGUUGUAAACUUCUUUUAUAAAGGAAUAAAGUCGGGUAUGUAUACCCGUUUGCAUGUACUUUAUGAAUAAGGAUCGGCUAACUCCGUG
rnacentral:rRNA from 1 species